GAUGAAGAACGCAGCGAAAUGCGAUAAGUAAUGUGAAUUGCAGAAUUCAGUGAAUCAUCGAAUCUUUGAACGCAUCUUGCGCUCCUUGGUAUUCUGAGGAGCAUGCCUGUUUGAGUGUCAUUAAAUUCUCAACUACACUGACUUUGAAUUGGUGUGGCUUGGAUUUGGGGGGAAAAUUGUUGUGGGCUUUUUGUAUAGUCUGCUCCCCUGAAAUUGAUUAGCGGUACCUUUGUGGAACUGUCUACAGGUGUGAUAAUUAUCUACAUCUUAGACAUCUGCGGCAAUGCUGCUUUCUAAACCUUACUUGUAUUGACAAUCUUGACCUCAAAUCAGGUAGGACUACCCGCUGAACUUAAGCAUAUCAAUAAGCGGAGA
rnacentral:misc_RNA from 1 species